UACGAAGGGUGCAAGCGUUACUCGGAAUUACUGGGCGUAAAGGGUGCGUAGGUGGUUGUUUAAGUCUGCUGUGAAAGCCCCGGGCUCAACCUGGGAAUGGCAGUGGAUACUGGACAGCUAGAGUGCGGUAGAGGGUAGUGGAAUUCCCGGUGUAGCAGUGAAAUGCGCAGAUAUCAGGAGGAACACCAAUGGCGAAGGCAGCUCGCUGGAACGGUACUGACGCUGAGGCGCGAAAGCGUGGGGAGCAAACAGG
rnacentral:rRNA from 1 species